CCUGUUCUCUGACUGAGCUAUCAGCUGAUGUUGUUGACAAGGAUGUAGGUUACACACACCGCGAUUUGUGUAUAGGUAACAAGCAAGGGAAAGGGUGCAGCCAUCCAUACUAUGUAUGCGGGUCAUUUUGGCCAUGGUUUGUGAACACAGGAUAUAUAUGUAUAACCUACACACAUCCAAUAUCCGGGAUUUCUCAAGUAUGUAUUGAAAUGAUACCAGGACUGUGUAGGUUCCGUAGUAUCCUGUACCAGUGAAGAUCCUGCACGUGAAAUCAGAUGUACAUACAAGUGUGUGUAAAUAACGACUUCCCCAUAUACAACCUCGUAAGGCAGUCGAUUGCAGAAUACCACCAGUGAUUGUUAAAGGUUCAAUGUGUUCUUCUUGCAACAGUCUCGAUAUCCUUCAACACGAGCAUAUAUGGGGCACAGCAUCAUGUCCCCAUGUGGUCAAAGCACCGAUCGUCAUUGCAAUGGUCGGACUUCCAGCUCGAGGCAAGACCUACAUGUCGAAAAAACUCACACGCUAUCUCAACUGGAUUGGGAUCCGCACCAGAGUGUUCAAUGUGGGCGAGUACAGAAGGGCUGCUACAGAUAAAUACAGAAGUCAUGAUUUCUUCCGACCGGACAACAAAGAGGCCCUAGAAAUAAGACAAAAAUGUGCUUUGAUGGCGAUGGAUGAUGCUACAAAGUUUUUAAAGAAUGGAGGAGAAGUGGCGGUCCUGGAUGCGACCAACACAACACGACACCGGCGGAAGCUGCUCGUGGACAUGAUACACAGGGAAAACAAGUUCAAACUGUUCUUUGUAGAAUCUAUAUGUGACGACCCGGAGAUCAUUGAAGCCAAUAUCGUUGAAGUGAAGGUGUGUAGUCCCGACUACAAUGGUAUGGACCAGACAGAGGCCAUUGCAGACUUUUUGCAGAGAAUCAAACACUACAGCGAAACAUACGAACCUCUCUGUCACGAACAUGACAAGGAUCUCUCGUUUAUCCAGAUCUUCAAUCAGGGCGAGCGAUUCCAGGUCAACAAACUAGCAGGACAUCUACAGAGUAGAGUGGUAUAUUACCUUAUGAAUAUUCAUGUGCUUCCCAGAACCAUAUAUUUGACACGGCAUGGUGAGAGUAUGAUGAACCUGAGUGGAAGGAUAGGAGGGGACAGUGAUCUGUCUGACCGUGGUGACGAGUAUGCCGAAGCUCUGGCAAAAUAUGUUGAGGAGGAAAAGAUCCCCGAUCUGAAAGUGUGGACCAGUGAAUUGAAGCGUACUAAGCAGACAGGGAAAUGCCUCACAGCUCCCAUAGAGCACUGGAAAGCCCUCAAUGAAAUAGACGCUGGUAUCUGUGAAGGAAUGACAUAUGAAGAAAUCCAGGAGAAAUAUCCAGAGGAGUUUGCCAACCGGGACCAGGACAAAUUCCAUUACCGAUAUCCCAGUGGAGAGUCCUACCAAGACCUGGUGGCUAGACUGGAGCCUGUGAUAAUGGAACUGGAGCGACAGGAGAAUAUUUUGGUGAUCUGCCACCAGGCUGUUGCACGGUGUCUGCUUGCUUACUUCCAAGAUAAAACUUCAGAGGAAAUCCCCUAUGUUCCGGUCCCCCAAGAGGCUGUCGUCAAAAUGCACAUGACCGGACAUGGCUGUGAAUGUGAAAAUAAUCUGCUGCUAAGCCGACCUCGCGUAUCUAAAGGUCCCACUCCACACAGUCAUCAAACUAACACCGGUGGCUUAUGGCUGUAAGAUUGAGUUUGUUGCCCUCAGCGUAGAUGCAGUCAACACCCACAGAGAGCGCCCUCAGUGCACACUAACACAGAGGAGUAGAGACGAAGCGCUGCAGACCGUACCAGCCCACUAUUGACCUGCUUGUGGUUGUAGAAGAGGGGAUUGAUCUCGCUACCAUAUUCCUUGCCUGUCCCGAUAUUCUCAGAUCGUGUGUUCAAGACUAGGUCUCCUUCAAGACCAUCAACACUGUUCAGUAACUCUGGCUUAUGUUAAUGGUGUAUGUUCCUUACUGGUCUCUAUCUCCUUUCAUAAAGAUUUGCACACUAAUAAACCAGUGAAAUAGUUUUAUAAGCAGUAUAGAUAUUAGUAUUUUAUUAAUAUUUCAUUUUUAAUAUGUAAUUAUAUUGGGUGAUGAUACUAACUAGAAUCUUAACAGUGCCAUAUUUUUCUUAUGUGGCAACAAUAUAUAAAUAUGACAUUCAUUAGCAGGUGACAGUGAAUAUUGUCAACCCGAGAAAACCAUUGUCACCC
rnacentral:misc_RNA from 1 species